rnacentral:siRNA from 1 species
UGAGUCAGUGAGUAUUAGAUGC